rnacentral:rRNA from 1 species
AACGAACGCUGGCGGCAUGCCUAACACAUGCAAGUCGAACGAGACCUUCGGGUCUAGUGGCGCACGGGUGCGUAACGCGUGGGAACCUGCCCUUAGGUUCGGAAUAACUCCCCGAAAGGGGUGCUAAUACCGGAUAAUGUCUUCGGACCAAAGAUUUAUCGCCUUUGGAUGGGCCCGCGUUGGAUUAGCUAGUUGGUAGGGUAAAAGCCUACCAAGGCGACGAUCCAUAGCUGGUCUGAGAGGAUGAUCAGCCACACUGGGACUGAGACACGGCCCAGACUCCUACGGGAGGCAGCAGUGGGGAAUAUUGGACAAUGGGCGAAAGCCUGAUCCAGCAAUGCCGCGUGAGUGAUGAAGGCCUUAGGGUUGUAAAGCUCUUUUACCCGGGAUGAUAAUGACAGUACCCGGAGAAUAAGCUCCGGCUAACUCCGUG